CCUACGGGAGGCAGCAGUAGGGAAUCUUCCACAAUGGGCGAAAGCCUGAUGGAGCAACGCCGCGUGGGUGAAGAAGGUCUUCGGAUCGUAAAACCCUGUUGUUAGAGAAGAAAGUGCGUGCGAGUAACUGUUCACGUUUCGACGGUAUCUAACCAGACAGCCACGGCUAACUACGUGCCAGCAGCCGCGGUAAUACGUAGGUGGCAAGCGUUAUCCGGAUUUAUUGGGCGUAAAGGGAACGCAGGCGGUCUUUUAAGUCUGAUGUGAAAGCCUUCGGCUUAACCGGAGUAGUGCAUUGGAAACUGGGAGACUGGAGUGCAGAAGAGGAGAGUGGAACUCCAUGUGUAGCGGUGAAAUGCGUAGAUAUAUGGAAGAACACCAGUGGCGAAAGCGGCUCUCUGGUCUGUAACUGACGCUGAGGUUCGAAAGCGUGGGUAGCAAACAGGAUUAGAUACCCGAGUAGUC
rnacentral:rRNA from 1 species